rnacentral:lncRNA from 1 species
GGGCAUUCUUUUUCUCUGUUUUUAGUAUCUAUGUAAAAAGAACUUUUAUUAAUGUGAAGUAAGCCCACUAUAGUUCUUCAGGGAAAUUUUGAAGCAGCUAUUAACUUUAAUGAAGAAUUUUCAGUCUAAGAGGGAACUGUUACGUGGGGAUUCUAUGUAUUUAUGCACUAUUGGAACAGAAUCCUGUCUGUUCUGCUUGUUAGGGAGAGUUCUUUCUUCAUGCUGGGUUAGACUGACCUUUGCUCUACAGAUUUACUUGCUGUGCUUUUUCUUGUCUGAAGCUUCACUGACAGGAGAUACGAAGUAGCGCUGUGUAAGGGUGUAGAAAGGAAUUGUCCUGGAUUGAUGUGGUUGAAGUUCAACUAGUAUCAUGUGAGGAAUGACUGGCACACAAAGUUAAAGGUAUCCCCAUGAAAAUUCAGGUUACUGAGGUGCAGUUACAACUCCUUUCCUGUGCAUUUGCGCUUGCUGAUUUAUACUGCUGUCCAGAGGCUUCCUCAGAAAGAUCAUUUGUCCUUCCACAAUUGCAGUUUCGACCUCACAAGGUCUGCAGGGGUAUGGAGGGAUCUACAGUGGUCAAGGAAGCGUACGAACCCAAUGUACAGCAGUCGACUGUAGCAAGGAGAAAAAGGCAUUCAAUACAAUAAACUAGAUCUAGUAAUAUGACUUAAUAAUAGCAUUACGAUAAUGGUGUUUCUGGGUUUGGAGUAAUGCCUGCUGCUUAACCCAUUCAAUACAGUACUCUAGAGAACAAGGAACAGCUUGGUGAUGUUGUGGUGUGGAAGUAUGUUUCCUGAAAGCUGGAAAUAAUUUCAGGACACAGAUGCUACACUCUAUUAUACUUUAGGGCCCAAAGAACCUCCUACAGCGUCUCUCCUGAACUCCAGAGCAUGGUGAGAGAUUUUUCUUUUUCUCACUUGGCUAAGCUGCCUUAUCAGUCUGCAUUUUGCAAGCCACAGUAAUUGGACAGUUGUCAGAUUUGAGCCUCAGGAGGUCAGUCCUGAGCUGAUGCAGGAACAAGGGCAUUUGGAAGUACAGGUGAGACCUGUCUGAAAUCACCAGGGCUAUGCGGAGAUGAGGAAAGCUUUGGGCCCUGCUUGACCAUAAGAGAGUGACUAAGCUAAUCCAGGUGUUUUGGUUUAUUGCCAUCUUACUUGAUACAUAAAUGUUAGGGAACUAAUUGUCUUUGAUGUCAAAUGUGAGACUGCACAAAUCUAUAAUCAAUUUGCUAUGUCUUGGAUAUUGUCACUGGUUUUGGUUUCUUUGUUAAUAAAGAUGAAGAAAUAUAUUUUCA